rnacentral:tRNA from 2 species
GGGCGUGUGGUCUAGUGGUAUGAUUCUCGCUUUGGGCGACGUUCCAGUACACUGGGAUGACACAAGCAUGCGAGAGGCCCUGGGUUCAAUUCCCAGCUCGCCCC